ensembl:rRNA 5S_rRNA 5S ribosomal RNA
AGCCACAGUCAAAUCACCCUGCAGCCCAAGUUCGGUUACUCACUGAAGCUAAGCAAGGAUGAGCCUGGUUAAUAUCUGGAUGGGAGAUCACAUGGGAAAACUAGGUUGCUGUUGGAA